rnacentral:rRNA from 1 species
CGAGGAUCAUUUGCAAUGGGCGAAAGCCUGACAAUGCGACGCUGCGUGGAGGAUGACGGCCUUCGGGUUGUAAACUCCUGUCAUUUGGGAACAAGUCCGGGCCGGGGAUAAUCCGGUUCGGGUUGAUAGUACCAGAAGAGGAAGUCACGGCUAACUCUGUGCCAGCAGCCGCGGUGAUACAGAGGUGGCAAGCGUUGUUCGGAUUUACUGGGCGUAAAUGGUGCGUAGGUGGUUUUGCAUGUCAGAUGUGAAAGCUUAUCGCUCAACGGUGAAAGUGCAUUUGACACUGCAGGACUAGAGUACAGGGGAGGAGAGUGGAAUUCUUGGUGUAGCGGUGACAUGCGUAGAUAUCAAGAAGAACACCGGUGGCGAAGGCGACUCUCUAUCCUGAUACUGACACUGAGGCACGAAAGCUGGGGGAGCAAACA